rnacentral:rRNA from 1 species
GACGAACGCUGGCGGCGUGCUUAACACAUGCAAGUCGAGCGGGGUCCAACCUGUCGCAAGACAGGGGAAGACCUAGCGGCGAACGGGUGAGUAACACGUGAGGAACCUGCCCCGAAGACCGGGAUAACACCGGGAAACCGGUGCUAAUACCGGAUGCCCUCAGAGAGUCGCAUGGCUCAUUGAGGAAAUGGAUUCCGCUUCGGGAGGGCCUCGCGGCCUAUCAGCUUGUUGGUGGGGUAACGGCCUACCAAGGCUCCGACGGGUAGCUGGUCUGAGAGGACGACCAGCCACACUGGGACUGAGACACGGCCCAGACUCCUACGGGAGGCAGCAGUGGGGAAUCUUGCGCAAUGGGCGAAAGCCUGACGCAGCAACGCCGCGUGGGGGACGAAGGCCUCCGGGUUGUAAACCCCUUUCAGCAGGGACGAACAUGACGGUACCUGCAGAAGAAGCCCCGGCCAACUACGUGCCAGCAGCCGCGGUAAUACGUAGGGGGCGAGCGUGUCCGGNUUAUUGGCGU